GUCCAGGGGCGGGAAUCGAACCCACACCCUUCUGCUUACCGGGCAGGUGCCUUGUACACUCGGCUACCCUGGA
rnacentral:tRNA from 1 species